AACGAAGUUGCCUGUUCACACUAGAGCUUUGAAAUAUCAUCUUUAGGAAAGAAGACGCAUAUUUUACGGAAACGUACAAUGCACAAAGUUAGACGUCUUCUUGAAGAGCAAGAGGAAGUGUAGGUUGUUUACGUUUCGAUGUGACAAAUCUUUGGACAUAACGGCUGUCCAACAGCUUGGAGAAAAACAUAUAGCUAAGGAUAAAGUAAAGACAAAAUCCUGCAACGAUUACAUAUGCAAGGUGACGGUUAGCCCAAAGGAUAAUGCCUGCAUCGUUAUUAUGCCAUGACGAUCCUUCAUAAAAGGUGAAAUAAGAGUCGUUGGAAAACUUGUAAUCCCUUUCAAGUAAAACACGAAUGUGGUCGUAAAAUGCGGGUGGGUUGGGUAGUUGUCUUUUGUACUUUUCCCAGAGAAAGCUGAUUGAAAGGGGACCGGUACUCAACAUGAUAGUCAAGUAGGGAAGCCAAUAUGACUUCGCAUUUUUUUCGAGGUUUUGAAUGAUCAGUUCGAAGUAUGGAUGAUGAGGAACACUUCCCAUAACAUCGUUGGAAACGCCUACAGGGUCGGUCCUGCGAACCCAUACGGGAUAAUAGAGAAGACUAUCUAACCGUUGACGACAUCCAUCGUCCAAAUCAAUGUAAUUUCCUCCAUAAUGAUAAAGAACGAAGUACCGAAUAACAUCCGCUCGUUGAACAUUGAAAGGGUAAGCAUCGAAGUAUGGCAAAAACCAAGGAUAGUUAUCAGCAAUGAAAUUACGAGACAUUUCAUCAGUCCAAAGGAUGUAUUCGUAAUCUGGGUGUAAAUCUAUGCAGCUCUGUUGAGCACCUUUCCAUCCUUCAGGCACUUCUGUGGUUUUCCAGGUUUGAUGAAUGAUUUUUGGAAUAACAGGUUCCCCUGAAAUAUCGUUCAAGGAAUCAAGUUUCAAAGUUGGCAACGGUUCAUCUUUGGAAGGAAUUGAAUCAUUAAGAACUUGGCGUAAAUAUCUUAGUUCUUCGGAAGGAAUGAUGUCCUUGGUACAUCUGUCUGCAAACAUCAAGAAUUCAUUGUUGAAGUAAAGAACGAUGGAACUCAUCAAGAAAAAGUUGACGGCAGCAAAAACUGCAAAUUUAUAUAUGACUUUCACCAUCCUAACAGUUUUCUAAUAUCAACAAUGGGUUAACAGCAGAAGGGGCAAAAGUAUUUUUAAAAAGAUUUAGAAGGUUUGCACUUGCAAUCCGAAAAACGAUAGAGUGUAAUGUAUACAGUAAUGAAUGGAGAGACGAACUUGUUAGCAACGAACUAUAGUCCAAUUCUAAUGGAGACUGUUCUGAAGAAAGAGAAAACGAAAAUGGAAAUGCUAAUCUAAACAACUAGGGAGUAAGUAAUCCUUAGAAAGCUUCAAAUGCUCGUGACAGUACUAAAUGCAAUUUUAUAAGGAUGAAUCAAGAAAAACGUUUUGUUUUUCAAAAGAGAAAAACAGAGGAACUUUUUUUUUUACUUUUAUGUUUAUUCAAAGUGGAAGAAAGAUAUUACCCUUUCAAGACUUCAGAAUAGUAAACAAAGGCUUCAGAUGAUGCGAAAUUUUGAAGUGAUUGCUAUUAUUAAAGGAGUUUUGCUUGAUAAAAUAAUAAAUAAAAGCCACUCUGUCUUUGUGUUCAGGCAUCACCAUGACGAUAAAAAAAAUCAUGCUAUUAUUUUUUUCGUUUACACUGAAUCUUGAAGGCGUCUAUAUAAAAUCAUACGAGAAGAAAUUGACCAAAACUAACAUUUUGUAAACAUAAAAAGAGUGAUAUUUUGAAAGG
rnacentral:lncRNA from 1 species